rnacentral:lncRNA from 1 species
CUUCACCUCCCAUUGUCUCUGUCUCUCUCUUUCUCCUCUGCUUCCCCUCACCCCACAACCAAAGUCAAGAGCGCAGACCCCAUGAUCACCUGAUACUUCCAAGCAAGCAGGUGUUCUUUUCAGAAGCCAGAAGCUGAUAACCUGGGCUUUCUGAUCUAACCCCAGCCCAAAUUCAUUGCAAUGGAGGAAUUGGGGAGGAGAUUCUUCCUACUGAGAAGUGGGUGCCAACUCUCCCUUUCAAAUUUGUUCAUCAACAAACUAAAGGGGAUGCCAGAAAUGUCUGGAGCAAUGGAAGAACCACUGGAAUAAUGCUCCUGCCUGAUUGUAUCUACUUAACCCACUCUCCAAGAGCCAGAAUCAGAUUUCAACCGUAUGGAAUCAUCUACAAUGCAGCAGAUGGGUUUACAAGUCUCUUGGUCUCUUCAUGAAGAAGGCGCAGCAAUCGUGUCCCAAGUCCUUGAGGACUUCACAGGGUGUUCUAGUGUCCUGAGAAUAUACCUGCCUAAGAUCUCACUGAUAUAAAGUGGAUGAAAGGGAGUGCAAAUACAGGUUCCUUUUUCUCCAAAUUCCAUACUCUCUACCAGUGCUCUGGGACUGGUGAAGAAUUCUGGGCCACUAUCUCUGCAGUGUUACACAAGCAAGUGGCAGGAGAGGUGCCUCCACAAUGCAGCGCGCAGCUCCUCCUGGGCGUCAUUAGCAUGCAGCCUACGUUCUUCAAGAUGGCGCCCAGUUCAGCCUGUCAGCGAGUGAUCUAUGAUGUGUCACUUGUGCUAUUAACAGGCGUUUUCAAUUUCAGCAGCCUCAGCACAUUUAGUUCCUCUCCCAUGUGAUCACUGCUCUGUCCUCCAUUAAUAACCACUUUCAAACCCUUCUAGCACCCACCUGGGCAGUUCCCUCUCAUGCCUUCCUCACAGGGUAGGGCUGGACUCUUUGCCCAUGGGAGAUGAUUGGGAAUAAUCUCUGUCCUGUGGGGUGAGCUGAACAAGGGGCAACUGCUCUACACAUGUGGACCAUCAAUAUAUCUCUAUUAAUGAGUGAAUUAAUUAAAGACAGACACAAAAAAUGACUUUCUCGUUGGUGGAGAUUGUCUGUUGCUGAGAAAGGUGAUGUCAGCUCUCUGGAUGAGGCUGAGGAAGGAGAAAAGGAUGAAGAUGGAACAAGCCCUGCCUUGUCAAUGCUUAUGCUUAGAAAGACUGGGGAGACUUGCAUGACUAUGCAGUGAAGGGUCCCCAAAGGGGGCUUAAUCUGCCGACCCAUGAAGGAUAUCAAGCAUGACUGGGCCUGUUGUAACAUUUCAGAGAAUGUCAGCCAAUAAUAAUAAAAUCUUCUUCAUUCUACAUGCUCU